UGCAAGUCGAACGAUGAUCCCAGCUUGCUGGGGGAUUAGUGGCGAACGGGUGAGUAACACGUGAGUAACCUGCCCUUGACUCUGGGAUAAGCCUGGGAAACUGGGUCUAAUACCGGAUACGACCAUCUGGCGCAUGUCAUGGUGGUGGAAAGCUUUUGUGGUUUUGGAUGGACUCGCGGCCUAUCAGCUUGUUGGUGGGGUAAUGGCCUACCAAGGCGACGACGGGUAGCCGGCCUGAGAGGGUGACCGGCCACACUGGGACUGAGACACGGCCCAGACUCCUACGGGAGGCAGCAGUGGGGAAUAUUGCACAAUGGGCGGAAGCCUGAUGCAGCGACGCCGCGUGAGGGAUGACGGCCUUCGGGUUGUAAACCUCUUUCAGUAGGGAAGAAGCGAAAGUGACGGUACCUGCAGAAGAAGCGCCGGCUAACUACGUGCCAGCAGCCGCGGUAAUACGUAGGGCGCAAGCGUUAUCCGGAAUUAUUGGGCGUAAAGAGCUCGUAGGCGGUUUGUCGCGUCUGCUGUGAAAGACCGGGGCUCAACUCCGGUUCUGCAGUGGGUACGGGCAGACUAGAGUGCAGUAGGGGAGACUGGAAUUCCUGGUGUAGCGGUGAAAUGCGCAGAUAUCAGGAGGAACACCGAUGGCGAAGGCAGGUCUCUGGGCUGUAACUGACGCUGAGGAGCGAAAGCAUGGGGAGCGAACAGGAUUAGAUACCCUGGUAGUCCAUGCCGUAAACGUUGGGCACUAGGUGUGGGGGACAUUCCACGUUUUCCGCGCCG
rnacentral:rRNA from 1 species